rnacentral:rRNA from 1 species
UCGGACCUCACGCUAUCAGAUGAGCCUAGGUCGGAUUAGCUAGUUGGUGAGGUAAUGGCUCACCAAGGCGACGAUCCGUAACUGGUCUGAGAGGAUGAUCAGUCACACUGGAACUGAGACACGGUCCAGACUCUAUACGGGAGGCAGCAGUGGGGAAUAUUGGACAAUGGGCGAAAGCCUGAUCCAGCCAUGCCGCGUGUGUGAAGAAGGUCUUCGGAUUGUAAAGCACUUUAAGUUGGGAGGAAGGGUUGUACGUUAAUACCGUGCAAUUUUGACGUUACCGACAGAAUAAGCACCGGCUAACUCUGUGCCAGCAGCCGCGGUAAUACAGAGGGUGCAAGCGUUAAUCGGAAUUACUGGGCGUAAAGCGCGCGUAGGUGGUUUGUUAAGUUGGAUGUGAAAUCCCCGGGCUCAACCUGGGAACUGCAUCCAAAACUGGCA